UACAGACGGGAAAAAUGUUCUGCACUAGCCGCCUUCGCCUUGCCGGCCCGCAAGAUGCCUCUUCACGCCUCGAAAAGAGACGUGAAGCGAGCGACGUAUUGCCACGAUAGGGAUGGGCAAAGUAUGGAGGCGUUUUCCCCCGGGCAUUGGUUUAACAGCCGUCUCCACUGGACCAACACCCAUCGCGGCAAUACUCGCUCGGGCACUGGCUGUACGCUGGCUGACCUCGAAACGCGGCUGCAAGCCACUUCACGAGUUUUUCACCAUGCGUACGGUGGUAACAAGCCAGGCG